UACGUAGGGGGCGAGCGUUGUCCGGAUUCAUUGGGCGUAAAGCGCUCGCAGGCGGUUCGCCGCGUCUUGCGUGAAGGCCCUCGGCUCAACCGAGGGUGGUCGUAAGAUACGGGCGGACUGGAGGUAGGUGGGGGGACGCGGAAUUCCCGGUGUAGUGGUGGAAUGCGUAGAGAUCGGGAGGAACACCGGCGGCGAAGGCGGCGUCCUGGACCUGGCCUGACGCUCAGGAGCGAAAGCGUGGGGAGCGAUCUGG
rnacentral:rRNA from 1 species